rnacentral:lncRNA from 1 species
UUGGUCGACAGCACGAACGAUGACGCUCUUCUGAGGCAAGUGAAGACAUGGAUUCUGCGCGGCUGGCCUAAACAACUCGGGCAGGAGCAACAGGGCUUCCUGCCGUACUUCACCCGCAGACACGAACUUACUGACAACACCGACUCAAGGCGGCCAAUCGCCCGCCGAGAUGAUGCUCGGUUUUCAGCCAAGGACCCGUCUAAGCGCACAAUUUCCAGAGGAGGUGGACCGGGAGCCCGUGGUGAACACAUUCACAGCGCCGAUGCAGCGUUUUCCUCAGGGGGCGCCUGUGUGGUCACACCAGUACAAUCAAGCCGGUCAGCGAUGGUUACCCGGCACGGUGACGUCAUCAAGGGGUAGGCGCUUGGUUAUGGUGGACACCACCGGAGGAAUGCAGUGUCGUCACGUGGACCAACUGCGGCCACGGCACCUCACAACGGUGGCAAAGCAGGAGCGCUCCGCGACCCGGCCUUCUGAGCAGCAACCCUCACCACGUGAUCCACCCUCACAUGACCAACCUUCGGCAGGCGACAACAUCGAGUCAACAGACUUAUCUCUGUGCACAUCGCGGUCUCCCAGUGAGACCGAUUCAAGGACACCGACGGCAUCGGAACUUCCCAGGCGUUCUACGCGCAUAAGAAGGCAGCCAGACAGACUUGGCUUCGUCUAAGGGAAAGGAAGUGCCAUGUCGCGGCAUCUAAAGUGCGGACUCGGCACCAACGUGUGCGCAUGCGCGCUCAAAGGCACGCAGCAUAAAUACAGCAACGCUAUCUGCAAUAAACGAUUCUUGUUCUG